UACGGAGGUCUCAAGCGUUGUUCGGAUUCAUUGGGCGUAAAGGGUGUGUAGGUGGCGCCGUAAGUCGGGUGUGAAAUUUCGGAGCUUAACUCCGAAACUGCAUUCGAUACUGCGGUGCUUGAGGACUGGAGAGGAGACUGGAAUCCAUGGUGUAGCAGUGAAAUGCGUAGAGAUCAUGAGGAAGACCAGUGGCGAAGGCGGGUCUCUGGACAGUUCCUGACACUGAGACACGAAGGCCAGGGGAGCAAACGGG
rnacentral:rRNA from 1 species